rnacentral:rRNA from 1 species
UGCCAGCCGCCGCGGUAAUACGGAGGGGGGGAGCGCUGUUCGGAAUUACUGGGCGUAAAGCGCACGUAGGCGGACUGGAAAGUAUGGGGUGAAAUCCCAGGGCUCAACCCUGGAACUGCCUCAUAAACUAUCAGUCUAGAGUUCGAGAGAGGUGAGUGGAACUCCGAGUGUAGAGGUGAAAUUCGUAGAUAUUCGGAAGAACACCAGUGGCGAAGGCGGCUCACGGGAUCGAUACUGACGCUGAGGUGCGAAAGUGUGGGGAGCAAACAGGAUUAGAUA